GACGAACGCUGGCGGCGUGCUUAACACAUGCAAGUCGAACGGUAAGGCCCUUCGGGGUACACGAGUGGCGAACGGGUGAGUAACACGUGGGUGAUCUGCCCUGCACUUCGGGAUAAGCCUGGGAAACUGGGUCCAAUACCGGAUAGGACCACUGCCUGCAUGGGUGGUGGUGGAAAGCUUUUGCGGUGUGGGAUGGGCCCGCGGCCUAUCAGCUUGUUGGUGGGGUGAUGGCCUACCAAGGCGACGACGGGUAGCCGGCCUGGGAGGGUGACCGGCCAAACUGGGACUGAGAUACGGCCCAGACUCCUACGGGAGGCAGCAGUGGGGAAUAUUGCACAAUGGGCGCAAGCCUGAUGCAGCGACGCCGCGUGAGGGAUGACGGCCUUCGGGUUGUAAACCUCUUUCAGCACCGACGAAGCGCAAGUGACGGUAGGUGCAGAAGAAGGACCGGCCAACUACGUGCCAGCCGCCGCCGUAA
rnacentral:rRNA from 1 species